rnacentral:lncRNA from 1 species
CGCCGCUCGAAGUACAGCCCCAGCAUGAUGAGCGACGGCUGGAAGUUGAGGGCCAGGCCCAGGCCUGCGGGCGAGGCGGUGCUGUGCCGGGGUCCCCGGAGAGCCCCUCCCUGGCCCCCACAGGAGGGAGGGGCCAGGCCCGGGAACCCAGCAGAUCCGGGAACCCAGCCGAGGGACUUCGAAGACUGUCCCUCAUAGGGAAACCGAGGACAGAUCUUGCAGCAAGAACCCCCGACCCCCAACCCAGCGGAGAGGAGACCAGGGGGCCCUCACCUGUGAGCACCCCAGCGGUCAGGGCGCUGAAGGACGAGGGGAGGACGACGGGUCCCACCUGACUCUGCACCUCUGCAGGCUCCCUCUGAAGGACAACUGCUGGCCCCUCAGGGCCUCAGGUGGAAGGCGUCGGGAAGUGGAGCAGGUCUCGGACCCCAAGCCAGUGCUUUGGAGCUGCUCAGGCUGCCGGGGUGGUCUGGGGAGGGCAGCCACCCCCCGUCUCAGGGACCCGCUUCUUGGAUCUGCUGCUGUUGCUGCUGUCGCUGCCAUUGCCAGCUCUGAACAGCCCCUGGGCAGGUGCACUGUGGGGGUCUCACAGUGUUGCUCAAGCUGAUGUUGAACUGUUGGAAUCAAGAGAUCCUCCUGCCCCAGUCUCCCUAGUAGCUGGGACUACAAGUGUGUGCCGCCGCACCUGCCACCCUCCUCACUGUUUGGGCCCCCAUGUGAGGACUCACCUCGGGAAGAGCUCCUGUGGCUAUGUGAGUCAAGGAUGGAACGAUGGUCCCAGAACAUCCCAGGAGGGUGUGACAGCCUCCAUCUAGAAGGUUCUAUCCUCAGGUCCCCAAGGCAUCUGCAGCACACCGUCCUCUGCUGUGGGUCUGUGAAGCAGCCACUCCAGCAGCAGGACAGUGGUGCCUGUCCAUUCCCUCUGCUAGCUGCCAGCCCUGCUGUCCUCCGCACUUUCUGGCAACCUCACUGUAUGAAACUCCCCAAAUCCUCCUCCACGUCAAGUGUCAAAACAGCCCAGUUUAAGUGCUUUCAGGAUUUCCACGGAGCCUGACCGCAAAGAGCAGCACGCGGUUCUGGAGCAUCCCCCGGGCCUGGCCGGGCGGGGACACGGGGGUCAGCCAGGUCCGGGCGGCUCCCUGAAUCCUGGGGACCCAAAAUGACACCCUCGACCUGAGAGCUCAGGCCCUACCAGCUCGGGACGACCGGAUUUUCUAGCUGGAAGGAGCCAGAAGCCAGCUCACCGUCCAACCCGCACCCUCUACUUUUGGCAAAGGCACCUCCAUUUUCCACGAAGAGCUUCCUCUGACCCCCCGCUUCCCGCGUCAAUGUGUGUGCUUUGAGCGGGGCUGUCCUCACCGCCCAGCUUCAGGGGUAGGGGUGGCACCCAGGCCUGGCCACUCAAUCACCCCAUCCUCCUUCCUGCAGCGAUAGGCUCAGGAAUGGCGCUUAGAUAGAAACUACGACCAAAGAACCCAGUCCCAUUACUUACUUACCCAGUAACACUAUGGAAAAUGCAUUUUUUUUUUUUUUUUUUUUUUUUUUUUUUAGACGGAGUCUGGCUCUGUCGCCCAGGCUGGAGUGCAAUGGCGCGAUCUCGGCUCACUGCAAGCUCCGCCUCCCGGGUUCAUGCCAUUCUCCUUCCUCAGCCUCCCGAGUAGCUGGGAUUACAGGCGCCUGCCACCAUGCCCAGCUAAUUUUUGUAUUUUUAGUAGAGACGGGGUUUCACCAUGUUGGCCAGGCUGGUCUCAAACUCCUGACCUCAGGUGAUCUGCCUGCCCUCGGACUCCCAAAGUGCUGGGAUUACAGGCGUGAGCCACCGAGCCUGGCCUAAAACUUCUUUCAAUGGCACUGACCUUUCUGUGUUGUCACUCAGUCAUAAUAAAAUCCCAGGUACAAUCAGAAUGCUGCAUUCUCCAGCCAUAAAGAUCGCUCCCUCUUUUCAAACAUCCCUGUCCCUCAAGGCCUAGCUCAAGACGGUCACCUUAAGAAAAGCUCCCUUUGUCGAGCAGUGACUCCAUACCAGGCCCUGCUUUAAACGCUUUAUCUGCAUUAUCUUACUUGAUUCUCGCAAUAGCCCUGGGUGGUAGGUGCAAUUAUUAUCUCCAGUUUAUAAAAGAAGAUACUGAGGGUCAGAGAAGUUAAGUGACUGGCUCAAGGUGUCACAUUCAGUAAGCGUUGAAGGGGUCUGUGUUGGUCUGUCCUUGAAGAUGCCCCCUACGACUACACUUUCAAUGAUUUCUGCCUUGAACCUGGCCCCAUGACUAAAAACCUCACGUCAAACUCAGGCAGCAAUAACGGGAAGGCUUGGUGCCUCCCAUCACUGGAGCAACUAGUCUAGCUGGUCACUAAGUGGACAGCCCCUCUGUUUCCCUGCAGUAACUAAUUAGCAGAAUAGCACAAAGAUAAAACCCGAAGGCCUUUGUGCAGAAGUUUCAGAGACAUAAGCAAAGUGAGAGCAUUAGGUUCUGCAUAUCUUUCUUGUUGUUGUUGUUGAGACAGAGUCUCGCUCUGUUGCCCAGGCUGGAGUGCAGUGGCACGAUCUUGGCUCACUGCAACCUCCGCCUCCCGGCUUCAAGUGAUUAUUCUGCCUCAGCUUCCCAAGUAACUGGGACUACAGGCGUGCGCCACCACUCCUGGCUAAUUUUUGUAUUUUUAGUAGAGACAGGGUUUCACCAUAUAGGCCAGGCUGGUCUCAAAGUCCUCAACUCGUGAUCCACCCGCCUUAGCCUCACAAAGUGCUGGGAUUACAGGUGUGAGCCACUGCACCCAGUCACAUGUCGUAUUUUAAAAGGGAUUUAAAAGUAUCAUUGGAUUGUUUGUAACACGAAGGAUAAAUGCUUGAGGGGAUGGAUACCCAUUCUCCAGCAUGUCAUGAUUACACAUUGCAUGCCUGUAUCAAAACACCUCAUGUACCCCAUAAAUAUAUACACCUACUAUGUACCACAAAAAUUAAAAUAAAUGGUGGGUGAGAAGAAACACUGCAUACGGUUUCAAAACCAUCAGAGAGGCCAUGGGAAAAAUUUUAAAAAUAUAUUUACGAAGUGAAACAGCCAUUCUAAGUAUGACACCAAACCCAUAAACUUGAAAAGACCGAUACAUUUUACUAAAUAAAAAUAAUGUUUUUGUAUAGCAAAACCAAUCAUAACACAGGCAAAUGAUAAUGGCAAACUGGCUAUUGUAUUUGCAACUCAUCACCAAGAAAAAGCUGGUUUCAGUAACAUAUCAAGAGCUCCUACAAAUUAAUAAGUGGAUGAAAAGAUACUGGCAUGUCACAGCACAGAAAAUCCAAUGGCUUUGAAACAUGAAAAGAUGUCAAGCUCGCGUUUAAGACAAGUAUGAGGUAAAGCCACACCGAGAUACCAUUUUUACCUUUCUAAUUAGCCAAGAUCAGAAAGUUUGCUCAUACACUGUUGUCAAGGGGUGCAGAAGCACAGAAACUCAUACAUCACUGAUGGAAGUGUAAACUGGUGCAACCAAUGACUAUAUUCUUGGGCUUACCAAUUCCACUUCUAGGAAUUUAUCCUGGAGAUACAUUUGCACAGCUGCAGUAAACGAGAGAAGCUAAGGAUGAGGUGGGAAGGCACGUUACUGACUAGACUUGGACUAAGCAAAGACUAAUUAGCGAAGAUGAAUAAGAAAGACAAUUUACCGUGCCCGGGCACCUAGAGUUCUUUAAAUCUUAUUCUAAGGCUGCCUUCUUUUUUUGAGAGAGAGAGCGAGCCUUGCUCUGUUGCCCAGGCUGGAGUGCAGUGGCGCAAUCUCGGCUCACUGCAACCUCUGCCUCCCGGGUUCAAGCCAUCCUCGUGCCUCAGCCUCCCGAGUAGCUGUGAUUACAGUCAUCCGCCACCAUUCCUGACUAAUUUUUGUAUUUUUAGUAGAGACGGGGUUUCACCAUGUUGGCCAGGCUGGUCUUGAACUCCUGAUCUCAGGUGAUCCACCCACCUCGACCUCCCAAAGUGCUGGGAUUACAGACAUGAGCCACCACGCCCACCCCAAAUGUGCCUUCUACUUAUAAAUAGAACAAGAAGUAAAUAUAUAUGCUUAGCUAUCUUAGGAGUUAGAUCUUGGAUGUUUUAAAGUCCAGCUGGGUCAGACAACAUGUUACUUGCUCCCUAUGUGAUAUGGUUUGGAUAUUUGUCCUCUCUAAAUUUCAUCUUGAAAUCUGACCCCCCAGUGUUGGAGGUGGGAUCUAGUGGGAGGUGAUGGGGGCAGCUCCCUCAUAAAUGGCUUGGUGCUGUACCCCACGGUAAUGAGUGGUAUGAGUUCAUGCAAGAUCUCCUUGUUUAAAAGAUUGCAGUGGCCGGGCGCGGUGGCUCACACCUUAAUUCCAGCACUUUGGGAGGCCGAGGUGGGUGGGUGGAUCACCUGAGGUCAGGAGUUCAAGACCAGCCUGGCCAACAUGGUGAAACCCCGUCUCUACUAAAAAUACAAAAAUUAACGGGCAUGGUGGUGCAUGCCUGUAAUCCCAGCUACUCAGGAGGCUGAGGCAGGAGAAUCGCUUGAACCCAGGAGGUGGAGGUUGCAGUGAGCUGAGAUCAUGCCACUGCACUCCAGCCUGAGCAACAAGAGCAGAACUCCAUCUUAAAAUAAAAAGAAAAAAGAAAGAGUGUGGCACCCCACCGGCUCCCUCUCUGGCCAUGUGAUAUGAACUUCCCCUUUGCCUUCUGCCAUGAUUGUAAGCUUCUAGAGGCUUCGCCAGGAGCAGAUGCGGGCAAUGCACUUCUUGUACAGCCUGCAGAACUGAGAGCCAAAUAAACAUCUUUUAAAAUAAAUUACCCAGCCUCAGGUAUUCCUUUAUAGCAAUGCACAACGGACUAACACACCAUGCAUAGGGGAAAAUCUGCCUGUUCAACCCACAGCUCCCUCCUGAGGGACCCUCACCCACGAGGAGGCAGUCAAGGAGGGGGUCAGCUCUUCUCUUAAUGUUGAUGGUUAACUAUUUACAGGCAAAAAGGAGUUUAACACAGGUGAAAAAGAGUUUCCUUCCAAAGAAGAUCUAUAAAUAGCUAAGAAGCACAGGAAAACAUGUUUAACAUCACUAGCCAUCUGGGAACCGGAAAUCAAUAUUGCAAUCAGAUAUCGCUUCACACCUGCUAGGAUGGCUAUUAUCAAAAAGACAGUAACAAAUAGUAGCGAGGACGUGAAACAACUGGAACCCUCAUAAACUGCUGAUGGACACGGAAACACUCCGGAAAACGGUCUGGAAGUUCCACAAACAGUUAAACAUAGAGUUACCAUAUGGCCCCACAAUUCUACUCUUAUAUACCCAAGAGAGAUGAAAACAUAUGUCCACAUGAAGACUCGUACAUGGAUGCUCAGCGCAGCAGUGGUCAUGACAGCCAAAGAGUGGAAACAACCAGGCGUCCAUCAGCUAACAUCUGAGUAAAUACAUCGAGUAAACGAGUAAAUACAAUGUGGUGUAUCCAAGCAAUGGAAUAUUAUCCAGCAGUGAAAAGGAAGCCAGUCGCAAAAGAGCACACACAUUGUAUGAUUCUGUUUAUAUGAAAUGUCCAGAAUGGGCAAAUGUAUUGAGACAGAAAGUAGAUUCCUGGUGGCCUGGGGCUGGGGGAGUGGGAGGAUUGGGAAUGACAGCUAAGGGGUACCGGUUUGUAUUUUUUUUUUGAGACGGAAUUUCGCUCUUGUCCAGGCCGGAGUGCAGUGGUGCAAUCUUGGCUCACUGCAACCUCCACCUCCUGGGUUCAAGCAGUUCUCCUGUCUCAGCCUCCUGUGUAGCUGGGAUUACAGGCAUGUACAACCACGCUUGGCUAACUUUUGUAUUUUUAGUAGAGACGGGUUUUCACCAUGUUGGCCAGGGUGGCCUCGAACUCCUGUCCUCAGGUGAUCCACCCGCCUCGGCCUCCCACAGUGCUGGGAUUACAGGUGUGAGCCACCGCGCCUGGCCGAGGUACUGGGUUACUGUGGUGGAGGGUAUUGAAAAUAUUUUAAGCUUGAUAGUGGUGAUGGAUGCAUGACUCUGUGAAUAUACUACAAACCAGAAAGUGUACACUGUAAAUGGGUGAAUCGUAUGUGAAUUAUAUCUCAAUAAAACUGUUUUUCAAAAAAGGAAGUUGUUUCUCCCUGGCAGACCUUUUGUGGGAUAGCAGGGGACGAGAAGGCUGAGCCUGGGGCCGGGUGAGGCGGUGACAGUGGGCAGAUGAGAGCCUGAGCCGAAAUCUGGGUCUUUGGAUCCAGUCAUGUAUCCCUGGGCCCGUGGGUUCAGAUCCAGAGACUCGGGGAGGGCGUGGGAGGCGUGGGAGGCGUGGGAGGGAUAAGAACCCCAAGCCAGGACCGGGCGUGGUGGCUCAUGCCUGUAAU